rnacentral:tRNA from 1 species
AAAGGUGUGGCUCAAAUGGUAGAGUGUGUGCCUGGCAUGCAGGAGGGCCUGGGUUCAAUCCUGGGUUCAAUCCUCAGUACCUCUA